rnacentral:rRNA from 1 species
AAGCGGUGGAGUAUGUGGUUAAUUCGAUGCAACGCGAAGAACCUUACCUGGUCUUGACAUCCCGGAGACCCUUAGGAAACUAGGGGGUGCUUCCAUCUGGAAGAAUCUGGAGACAGGUGCUGCAUGGCUGUCGUCAGCUCGUGUCGUGAGAUGUUGGGUUAAGUCCCGCAACGAGCGCAACCCUUGCCUUUAGUUGCCAGCAGUUCGGCUGGGCACUCUAAAGGACUGCCGGUGUAAACCGGAGGAAGGUGGGAUGACGUCAAGUCCUCAUGGCCUUUAUGACCAGGGCUACACACGUACUACAAUGGCCGAUACAAAGGGCAGCGACACUGCGAGGUGAAGCCAAUCCCGUAAAAUCGGUCUCAGUCCGGAUUGGAGUCUGCAACUCGACUCCAUGAAGUUGGAAUCGCUAGUAAUCGUGGAUCAGCAUGCCACGGUGAAUACGUUCCCGGGCCUU